UCUUUGUCUGGAAUUGUACAUCUAUGCCUUGUCCUACGUGUGAGGUCCUGCCUGUUUUGUGUGUGCUCCAGUAUUUGGAAGAAUAAAGACUAUUGGAUGUUAUUCCUUCUCAUCUUCACCACAACGGGAAUCCCUUGGCUCGAUGUGCUGUGACUGAACGGAUAGAUUAGCCAUAGAAUAUCCAGGGAGCAUCCUGCCAAGAUGAAAGAAGCCCUCCUCUAGACACCCCACCAUCCACAACCCACAUU
rnacentral:lncRNA from 1 species